rnacentral:rRNA from 1 species
GAUGAACGCUGGCGGCAGGCUUAACACAUGCAAGUCGAACGGUAACACCCUGCUUGUUUGUGGUGCUCGAAUGGCGAACGGGUGAGUGAGACGUGAGUGACCUACCCCUGACUUUGGGAUAACGACAACAAGCUGGGGCUACUACCAGAUCAGAGCGUCGGCUGUAUAGUGGGGGUGGGAUAGUUUCGGCGGUUGGUGAUGGACGCGCGGCUUAUCUGCGUUUUGGUGGAGGAGUGGCUUACCGAGGGUCUGACGGGUAGGCGGCCUGAGAGGGUGAACGGGGACAUUGGGACUGAGCUACGGCCCAGAGUCCUACGGGAGGCAGCGGUGGGGAGUAUUGUACAAUGGGCGGAAGUCUGAUGCAGCAACGCCGCGUGUGGGAUGACGGCCUUGGGGUUGGGAAGGGAUUAAGGCUGUGACGAAGGGUGAGUGACGGUAACGGGUAAAGAAGCACCGGCUAACUACGUG